AGUGAACGCUGGCGGUAGGCCUAACACAUGCAAGUCGAACGGCAGCACAGUAAGAGCUUGCUCUUACGGGUGGCGAGUGGCGGACGGGUGAGGAAUACAUCGGAAUCUACUUUUUCGUGGGGGAGAACGUAGGGAAACUUACGCUAAUACCGCAUACGACCUACGGGUGAAAGCAGGGGAUCUUCGGACCUUGCGCGAUUGAAUGAGCCGAUGUCGGAUUAGCUAGUUGGCGGGGUAAAGGCCCACCAAGGCGACGAUCCGUAGCUGGUCUGAGAGGAUGAUCAGCCACACUGGAACUGAGACACGGUCCAGACUCCUACGGGAGGCAGCAGUGGGGAAUAUUGGACAAUGGGCGUAAGCCUGAUCCAGCCAUACCGCGUGGGUGAAGAAGGCCUUCGGGUUGUAAAGCCCUUUUGUUGGGAAAGAAAAGCAGCAGGUUAAUACCCCGCUGUUCUGACGUUACCAAAAGAAUAAGCACCGGCUAACUUCGUG
rnacentral:rRNA from 1 species